GCGUGCCAGUGAUGAUUUACGGACAUGGUGAAUUCUGGAUGAAUGUGCUGGUGCACAGGCAUUGUGAUAUGCAUUCAUGAGGCGUUCAUCUGAGGCACGC